rnacentral:rRNA from 1 species
CCCCUAGAUGUUCUGGGCGGCCCGCGCACUACAAUGGCGCGUUCAUCGAGAACCAAGGUUGAAUUAUUCGAGGUAUUCUUGCAAAACGCGUCUUGAUUGGGAUAGAUCCUUGUAAUUGUUGGUCUUGAACGAGGAAUUCCUUGUAAGCGUGGUUUAUCAUCCCACGUUGAAUGCGUCCCUGCCCUUUGUACACACCGCCCGUCGCUCCUACCGAUGAAUUGUCCGGUGAAGUUCAUGGAGAGCUGUUUCACUGAGAUGUGCUUAAAGCGAGAUGAACCUAGCGGUUUAGAGGAAGGAGAAGUCGUAACA